GAGGGUAUAGCUCGGUAGAGUGUGCGCUUAGCAUGCGUGAGGUCCUGGGUUCAAUCCCCAGUACCUUCA
rfam:Camelus ferus unplaced genomic scaffold scaffold41, whole genome shotgun sequence.